AUUGAACGCUGGCGGCAUGCCUUACACAUGCAAGUCGAACGGCAGCACGGGUGCUUGCACCUGGUGGCGAGUGGCGAACGGGUGAGUAAUACAUCGGAACAUGUCCUGUAGUGGGGGAUAGCCCGGCGAAAGCCGGAUUAAUACCGCAUACGAUCUACGGAUGAAAGCGGGGGACCUUCGGGCCUCGCGCUAUAGGGUUGGCCGAUGGCUGAUUAGCUAGUUGGUGGGGUAAAGGCCUACCAAGGCGACGAUCAGUAGCUGGUCUGAGAGGACGACCAGCCACACUGGGACUGAGACACGGCCCAGACUCCUACGGGAGGCAGCAGUGGGGAAUUUUGGACAAUGGGCGAAAGCCUGAUCCAGCAAUGCCGCGUGUGUGAAGAAGGCCUUCGGGUUGUAAAGCACUUUUGUCCGGAAAGAAAUCCUUGGCCCUAAUACGGUCGGGGGUGACGGUACCGGAAGAAUAAGCACCGGCUAACUACGUG
rnacentral:rRNA from 1 species